rnacentral:rRNA from 1 species
GGCGAACGGGUGAGUAACACGUGGGUGAUCUGCCCUGCACUUCGGGAUAAGCCCGGGAAACUGGGUCUAAUACCGGAUAGGACUGCGCGGUGCAUGCCGUGUGGUGGAAAGAUUUAUCGGUGCAGGAUGGGCCCGCGGCCUAUCAGCUUGUUGGUGGGGUAAUGGCCUACCAAGGCGACGACGGGUAGCCGGCCUGAGAGGGCGACCGGCCACACUGGGACUGAGACACGGCCCAGACUCCUACGGGAGGCAGCAGUGGGGAAUAUUGCACAAUGGGCGCAAGCCUGAUGCAGCGACGCCGCGUGAGGGAUGACGGCCUUCGGGUUGUAAACCUCUUUCAGCAGGGACGAAGCGUGAGUGACGGUACCUGCAGAAGAAGCACCGGCCAACUACGUGCCAGCAGCCGCGGUAAUACGUAGGGUGCAAGCGUUGUCCGGAAUUACUGGGCGUAAAGAGCUCGUAGGCGGAUUGUCGCGUCGUCUGUGAAAACCAGCAG